GGGUCAGUAGGUUGGUCGUGCCACCGGUACGUACUGGCCUCACUGAUUCCUCCUUCCUGAAGAACCGUAAUGCCAUUAAUUUGGUGUUGCGGGGAAACAGGACUGUUACUUUGAAAAAAUUAGAGUGUUUAAAGCAAGCUAACGCUUGAAUACAUUAGCAUGGCAUAAUGAAAUAGGACGAUCGAUCCUAUUUUGUUGGUUUCUAGGAUUGACGUA
rnacentral:rRNA from 1 species